GAAAUCAUAGUAUAAAUUUAGUAUAUUUAAUUGCAAAUUAAAGGGUAUUGAUUUUU
rnacentral:tRNA from 2 species